rnacentral:lncRNA from 1 species
UAACAUGCUUAAAUAUUCAAAACCAGCGGCCGAAUCGACUAGCAUCUCAGCCACGGGCAUGGCAUAUUCAUCUUUUGGUGUGGCAGCAUUCAGAUCUCUAAAAUCAAUGCACACUCUUAAAGACCCAUUUUUCUUUAUUACUGGCACUGUAACACCCCAAAAUUUGCCCUCCUCAUUCAUUUAGCAUUUCAUAUUGCAUUUCAUCAUGUCAAUCAGAAUUAGAUCCAAGAAACUUUUAAAAAAUAAA